AGGAAGAAACCGGCGAAGAAACCAGCACAAAUAUAUCAUCUUUGAAGUAGACCACCACCAUGCUUCACCAGGGAUGACAUAAUGCAGCUGGCUCGCCAAACCAUCCGAAAGCGGAAAGACGAGGAAGCCGGAGAAGGUAGAGCAGGACUCCGUUGGUGGCCGCCUCGCGGGUCACGUCCUUGUCCCCGGCGAAGGCCGAGAUGACCGGCCUCCCGUUCAGCAUCAGGUUCACCUGGC